ACGCUCGACACCUACGGGGCAGCAGUGGGGAAUAUUGCACAAUGGGGGAAACCCGUGAUGCAGCGACGCCGCGUGAAGGAAGAAGUAUCUCGGUAUGUAAACUUCUAUCAGCAGGGAAGAAAAUGACGGUACCUGACUAAGAAGCCCCGGCUAACUACGUGCCGCAGCCGCGGUAAUCUGAGCGGGCUGGCAAGGC
rnacentral:rRNA from 1 species